UUAUUGUUCGUUCUAUCAUUCAGAAAUUUUAUCGGUUGUUGUAUCUGUCAUUCGGUCGUUCUAUCGUUCAGAAAUUCUAUCGGUCAUUGUAUAUGUCAUGAGGUCAUUCUAUUGGUCAUUCUAUUGGUCAUUCUAUCGUUCGGUCGUUCUAUCGUUUCUGUCUUUCUAUCUGUCAUUAGAUCGUUCUAUUGUUUAUAGGACAUUUAAAACUACCGAAGUAUAACUGAAGAAUGAUGUCUUUGUUAAAUUGUUAAAAAUGGUUUAAUAUGUCUCAUUGACAUUUUAUGAACUUAAUAAAUAACUGGUUGGAUAUCUGUGAGUUACUGAUUUGGCUAGUGAUUUUAGGCUAUUUAAUUAGUUGAAAUGUGUAUAAGAGAAUGACUACAUAAACUGAAGAAAAUGAAAGUCAGGCCUUUGCUAAUAAAAUUCUAUGACAAGUCAUUUUUGUUUGACUGGGGCAAUGCAAAGACCCACAGAUCAGCAGAGAUGGUUUUGAGAAUUUGUUAUGCAUUUAAUGUUUCAUGCACAGAAAGUGUAAAGAAUAUGUUGAAUGAUUUUUUUAAAUGUUUAAUUCUAUUUUUAUUGUAAUAAAGUUUUUGAGCCAAUACUUCAGUAUGCCAGUUUUAUAAUGCUUAUCAGAUCUUUAGUUAAUGUUCAUCUAAACUUUCCUCCUUUAUAUGUUUUACAUAUAUUUUCUACUGCCCCUCAGUUAAAUAUAUAUUUUAUUACUCAAAACAGAUUAUUUACGUUACAAUAGAUUAUAUUAUUUGCAUAUGUUACAAUACUUCAUAUUUUAUAUUCUUUAUUUUAAAUAUUUGGUAUUUGUUUUUGCGGAAGAUUUUAUCCAAGUUGCUCUUUUCUAUUCAAUAGAAGUGAGUGUUGAUAAUGGUGUUCAAGCUAAAAAGGCAGUUGAUUAAAUCUUUUCACUUCUGUUCUAACGAUUAAAUCUCAUUCACAAGUUUUGGGCAACAUGACAGUGAGUAAACAACAACAGAAAUGUAUU